rnacentral:lncRNA from 12 species
CAUUAUUUGUUUCUGGCCUGGCCCCUGGGGGCGUCUGAGUUUGUCACCUCCUUGAGUAUAGGACUGUGGGACACUGGAGGGAGGCAUGCAAUUGUGUUGGCCCAUGGCUCAGUGAGAGGCCUAGUCUUGGGAGGGUUUUCUCAUCUUGCCUGGAUUAAGAUGACUCACAGGGCCAGUAUGGGUCUCUGGCAGAGCCAGCUUUCCUUUCCUACUUUGUUUUUAUAAAACAGAAAUAGAAGUUUCCAUAACGUGGUACAACUCCACCCAGCACUGGCAGGCCUUGGGAAGUCACCGCUGUUUGUGAGUGUCCAAGGGAGAGCUUUGGUUGGGAGCCUGCUAUUUGCUCAUGGGUUCACAGAGCCUCACAGAGCAGGACAGCAUGUGCUCAUCUCUACUGUAGGCUCUGUCUGAAUGCAGGUACCCUCCACUGGGUCCUCCUUCAGGAAAGAUGAUCAAUGCAAUGGAUUCCUCAGGCCACAAGACAGCUUACAGCAACGGAUUCCAAGGAAUUUUGGCUUGGUUCCUUGGCGGAGGGAGACCCGGAGGAAUGAUGGAGCGCUCUCUCCUCUCCACCCCAUCCACACAUGGUCCUCUUCAUUUCAGCGUCCGGAGCAAUGGGCAGUAAACCCAGGGGCGUUGGGGAAGAGCUUGCACCAGAAGAACCUGGGACUCGGCCCAGACUCGGCUGCUUCCUGCUGGAGUCACCUCUCUGAGCCUCAGUUUCCCUCUCUGUAAAGGGGGAAUAGCAAUAGUAGACAGAUGCACUACCCAUGCGGCUAGGAAUCCACUAGUUGAGGUAAAUUAAAUGCCUGAUGCAGUAGAUAUUUGAGAAAUUAUAUUUUCCCCAUUCUAAUUUCAAGUUCGCUUUUGCCUGUAACCAAGAAAGCAGAGGUAGGCUGGAUGCGAACUUGAUGCAGAAGUUUAGCAAUAGCCCGCUGGAUCCCCUUAACAAAGCCACUCCCCAACACGUGCCUGUUUCCCCAGCCUUCUGCCUCUUGCUCCCCGACUUUCCCUAUAUUGGCGCCCUGCCUGCCUCGGGGGGCUCACAGCACGACCCGGGCCCGGGCAGCCUUCCAACCCUCCCUGUCUGUCCGCCCG